UCCCUGGUGGCCUAAUGGUUAAGGGUUUGGCAUUGCCACUGCUUUGGCCUAGGUUUGAUCCCUGGCCCCGAAA
rnacentral:tRNA from 1 species